UUCUUUUUGUUUUAUAAAUAAAAGGUAGGACCUGCUCAAUGAAAUUUUAAAUAGCCGCGGUUAUUAAUCGUGCAAAGGUAGCAUAAUAAUUUGUUUCUUAAUUAGGAUCUAGAAUGAAUGGUUUAACAAAGAAGUAACUUUUUUAAUUGAUUUUUUUUGAAUUUUAUAUUUUAGUAAAAAAGCUAAAAUUGUUUUAUGGGACGAUAAGACCCUAUAAAAUUUAAUUUAUAAAUUUAAUUAAUAUUAAUAAGAUAAAUAAAUUUUAUUAAUUUUAUAAAUUUGGUUGGGGUGACUAUUAAAUUUUAAUAACUUUAAUUUAAUCUUUUCAUUAAUUUGUGAUUAAUUGAUCCCUAAAAUUUAGGAUUAAAAGAUUAAAUUACUUUAGGGAUAACAGCGUAAUUUUCUUUAGGAGUUCUUAUUUAAAAGAAAGUUUGCGA
rnacentral:rRNA from 1 species